UCAGAGAGAGAUCCCAUGAUGACGUCAUCACACCAUGAAUGCAUGCUAGUGCACGCAAUGGUCGAUGAGCUAGAUACGUUUUGGAUAUAGACUGGUCUUGCAUACUCGAUAAGACGCUAUCGACACAGCGGUAUCGAAGUCAGCGUAUCCGGAUAUGCUCAGGGAGGUAGCGUCGUAAGCGUGUGUGAAUAGUGCUCACAUUACUUGCAGCGCGAACUGGCGGACUUGAGUGCACGCACGUAUGCGAUCAUGUGUAGCGGUGAAUGCUUAGAUAUCAUGACGACUCGAUUGCGAAGCAGCGUACGGGAGUGUACUGACGCUUAAGCUCGAAGGUGCGGGUAUCGAACAGGAUUAGAUACCUUGGUAGUCCGCACGGUAAACGAUGGAUGCCCGCUGUUAGCGCUGGCGUUAGCGGCUAAGCGAAAGCAUUAAGCAUCCCACUUGGGGAGUACGCCGGCAACGGUGAAACUCAAAGGAAUUGACGGGGGCCCGCACAAGCGGAGGAACAUGUGGUUUAAUUCGAUGAUACGCGAGGAACCUUACCCGGGCUUGAAUUGCAGACGCAGGAUACAGAGAUGUUGACUCCCUUCGGGGCGUCUGUGAAGGUGCUGCAUGGUUGUCGUCAGCUCGUGCCGUGAGGUGUCGGCUUAAGUGCCAUAACGAGCGCAGCCCCUUUCCUUAGUUGCCAUCAGGUGAUGCUGGGCACUCUGGGGAUACUGCCACCGCAAGGUGUGAGGAAGGUGGGGAUGACGUCAAAUCAGCACGGCCCUUACGUCCGGGGCUACACACGUGUUACAAUGGCCGGUACAGAGGGACGGUGCAAUGCAAAUUGCAUCCAAUCUUGAAAGCCGGUCCCAGUUCGGACUGAGGUCUGCAACCCGACCUCACGAAGCUGGAUUCGCUAGUAAUCGCGCAUCAGCCAUGGCGCGGUGAAUACGUUCCCGGGCCUUGUACACACCGCCCGUCACACCAUGGGAGUGGGUUGUACCAGAAGUAGAUAGCUUAACCACAAGGGGGGCGUUUACCACGGUAUGAUUCAUGACUGGGGUGAAGUCGUAACAAGGUAACCGUAGGGGAACCUGCGGCUGGAACACCUCCUUC
rnacentral:rRNA from 1 species